UACGUAGGGGGCAAGCGUUGUCCGGAUUUAUUGGGCGUAAAGCGCGUGUAGGCGGCUUGGUAGGUCCGCUGUGAAAACUCGAGGCUCAACCUCGAGCUGUCGGUGGAAACCACCUUGCUAGAGUCCGGAAGAGGAGAGUGGAAUUCCUGGUGUAGCGGUGAAAUGCGCAGAUAUCAGGAAGAACACCAAUGGCGAAGGCAGCUCUCUGGGGACGGUACUGACGCUGAGAAGCGAAAAGCAUGGGGGAGCGAACAGG
rnacentral:rRNA from 1 species